rnacentral:rRNA from 1 species
AUUAAACGCUGGCGGCAUGCCUUACACAUGCAAGUCGAACGGCAGCACGGGGGCAACCCUGGUGGCGAGUGGCGGACGGGUGAGUAAAGCAUCGGAACGUAUCCUGGAGUGGGGGAUAACGUAGCGAAAGUUACGCUAAUACCGCAUAUUCUGUGAGCAGGAAAGCAGGGGAUCGCAAGACCUUGCGCUCUGGGAGCGGCCGAUGUCGGAUUAGCUAGUUGGCGGGUAAAGCCUACCAAGGCGACGAUCCGUAGCGGGUCUGAGAGGAUGAUCCGCCACACUGGGACUGAGACACGGCCCAGACUCCUACGGGAGGCAGCAGUGGGGAAUUUUGGACAAUGGGCGGAAGCCUGAUCCAGCCAUGCCGCGUGAGUGAAGAAGGCCUCGGUUGUAAGAC